rnacentral:rRNA from 1 species
GACAGAGGGGGCAAGCGUUGUCCGGAUUGACUGGGCGUACAGCGCGCGCAGGCGGCACAGUAUGUGCCCGGUGACAGCCCACGCUCAACCGUGGGUCGCCCGAGUACACAGCCGUGCUGGAGGCAGGGAGAGGAACGCGGAAUUCCAGGUGUAGCGGUGAAAUGCGUAGAUAUCAGGAAGAACACCAAUGGCGAAAGCAGCUCUCUGGGACGGUAC